UUAAGCGACUAAGCGUACACGGUGGAUGCCUAGGCAAUCAGAGGCGAUGAAGGACGUGCUAAUCUGCGAUAAGCGUCGGUAAGGUGAUAUGAACCGUUACAACCGACGAUUUCCGAAUGGGGAAACCCAGUGCAAUUCGUUGCACUAUCGUUUGAUGAAUACAUAGUCAAACGAAGCGAACCGGGGAACUGAAACAUCUCAGUACCCCGAGGAAAAGAAAUCAACCGAGAUUCCCCUAGUAGCGGCGAGCGAACGGGGAGCAGCCCAGAGUCUUAAUCAGCAUUAGCAUCAGGAGAACGGUCUGGAAAGUCCGGCAGUAAAGGGUGAUAGCCCCGUAUCCGAAGGUGUUAGUGUUGUGAACUCGACGAGUAGGGCGGGACACGUGUUAUCCUGUCUGAAUAUGGGGGGACCAUCCUCCAAGGCUAAAUACUCCUGAUUGACCGAUAGUGAACCAGUACCGUGAGGGAAAGGCGAAAAGAACCCCGGCGAGGGAGUGAAAUAGAACCUGAAACCGUGUACGUACAAGCAGUGGGAGCCUUGAUUUAUCAGGGUGACUGCGUACCUUUUGUAUAAUGGGUCAGCGACUUAUAUUCUGUAGCAAGGUUAACCGUAUAGGGGAGCCGUAGGGAAACCUGUCUUAACUGGGCGAAUAAGUUGCAGGGUAUAGACCCGAAACCCGGUGAUCUAGCCAUGGGCAGGUUGAAGGUUGGGUAACACUAACUGGAGGACCGAACCGACUAAUGUUGAAAAAAUUAGCGGAUGACUUGUGGCUGGGGUGAAAGGCCAAUCAAACCGGGAGAUAGCUGGUUCUCCCCGAAAGCUAUUUAGGUAGCGCCUCGUGAACUCAUCUUCGGGGUAGAGCACUGUUUCGACUAGGGGUCAUCCCGACUUACCAACUCGAUGCAAACUACGAAUACCGAAGAAUGUUAUCACGGGAGACACACGGCGGGUGCUAACGUUCGUCGUGAAGAGGGAAACAACCCAGACCGCCAGCUAAGGUCCCAAAGUCAUAGUUAAGUGGGAAACGAAGUGGGAAGGCUCAGACAGCCAGGAUGUUGGCUUAGAAGCAGCCAUCAUUUAAAGAAAGCGUAAUAGCUCACUGGUCGAGUCGGCCUGCGCGGAAGAUGUAACGGGGCUAAACUAUGCACCGAAGCUGCGGCAGCGAUAUUUAGAUAUUGUUGGGUAGGGGAGCGUUCUGUAAGCCUGUGAAGGUGUGCUGUGAGGCAUGCUGGAGGUAUCAGAAGUGCGAAUGCUGACAUAAGUAACGAUAAUGCGGGUGAAAAACCCGCACGCCGGAAGACCAAGGGUUCCUGUCCAACGUUAAUCGGGGCAGGGUGAGUCGACCCCUAAGGCGAGGCAGAAAUGCGUAGUCGAUGGGAAACGGGUUAAUAUUCCCGUACUGGUGAUAAUUGCGAUGGGGGGGGGGGGGACGGAGAAGGCUAGGCUAUCCGGGCGACGGUUGUCCCGGUUUAAGGAUGUAGGCAGGUGAAUUAGGCAAAUCCGGUUCACUAUAUGCUGAGGUCCGAUGACGAGUCACUACGGUGAUGAAGUAGCUCAUGCCCCGCUUCCAGGAAAAGCCUCUAAGCUCUAGAUUAUCAUUAAUCGUACCCCAAACCGACACAGGUGGUCAGGUAGAGAAUACUCAGGCGCUUGAGAGAACUCGGGUGAAGGAACUAGGCAAAAUGGUGCCGUAACUUCGGGAGAAGGCACGCUGGCAUUAGGUGAAGUGAUUUACUCAUGGAGCUGAAGCCAGUCGCAGAUACCAGCUGGCUGCAACUGUUUAUUAAAAAACACAGCACUGUGCAAACACGAAAGUGGACGUAUACGGUGUGACGCCUGCCCGGUGCUGGAAGGUUAAUUGAUGGGGUUAUCCGUAAGGAGAAGCUCUUGAUCGAAGCCCCAGUAAACGGCGGCCGUAACUAUAACGGUCCUAAGGUAGCGAAAUUCCUUGUCGGGUAAGUUCCGACCUGCACGAAUGGCGUAAUGAUGGCCAGGCUGUCUCCACCCGAGACUCAGUGAAAUUGAACUCGCUGUGAAGAUGCAGUGUACCCGCGGCAAGACGGAAAGACCCCGUGAACCUUUACUAUAGCUUGACACUGAACAUUGAGCCUUGAUGUGUAGGAUAGGUGGGAGGCUUUGAAGCGUGGACGCCAGUCUGCGUGGAGCCAACCUUGAAAUACCACCCUUUAAUGUUUGAUGUUCUAACGUUGCCCCAUUAUCUGGGGUGCGGACAGUGUCUGGUGGGUAGUUUGACUGGGGCGGUCUCCUCCCAAAGAGUAACGGAGGAGCACGAAGGUUGGCUAAGCAUGGUCGGACAUCAUGCGGUUAGUGCAAAGGCAUAAGCCAGCUUGACUGCGAGAGUGACGGCUCGAGCAGGUAGGUACGAAAGUAGGUCUUAGUGAUCCGGUGGUUCUGAAUGGAAGGGCCAUCGCUCAACGGAUAAAAGGUACUCCGGGGAUAACAGGCUGAUACCGCCCAAGAGUUCAUAUCGACGGCGGUGUUUGGCACCUCGAUGUCGGCUCAUCACAUCCUGGGGCUGAAGUAGGUCCCAAAGGGUACGGCUGUUCGCCGUUUAAAGUGGUACGCGAGCUGGGUUUAGAACGUCGUGAGACAGUUCGGUCCCUAUCUGCCGUGGGCGUUGGAAGAUUGAAAGGGGCUGCUCCUAGUACGAGAGGACCGGAGUGGACGCACCACUGGUGUUCGGGUUGUCAUGCCAAUGGCAUUGCCCGGUAGCUAAGUGCGGAAGAGAUAACCGCUGAAAGCAUCUAAGCGGGAAACUUGCCUUGAGAUGAGUCUUCCCUGACUCUUUAAGGGUCCUAAAGGAACGUUUAAGACUAAGACGUUGAUAGGUUGGGUGUGUAAGCGUAGCGAUACGUUGAGCUAACCAAUACUAAUGAACCGUGAGGCUUAACCUG
rnacentral:rRNA from 1 species